rnacentral:lncRNA from 1 species
GAAUAUUGAACUCUUGCAUAGACCCACUAAGCCUCUAAUGCUCUAUCUUAACCUGCUGACAUGUAAAGCACUUAGACACAAACUGUUCAAUAUCUCUUUUUAUACCACUCCACCAAUAGAUAUCUUGCAAGUUGUGGUACAUCUUAGUGGACCCUGGAUGAAUAGAGUAUCGCGUACCAUGUGCUUCUGCAAGAAUUCAUUGCCUCAAGUCAUAUACACCUAGCACAUACAGACAACCCUAACAACACAAUACAUAAUCUUCCCCUUGGGAGAAAAC